UACGAAGGGGGCUAGCGUUGUUCGGAAUUACUGGGCGUAAAGGGCGCGUAGGCGGCGCUCCAAGUUAGGCGUGAAAGUCCUGGGCUCAACCUGGGAACUGCGCUUAAGACUGGAGUGCUUGAGGAUGGAAGAGGGUCGUGGAAUUCCCAGUGUAGAGGUGAAAUUCGUAGAUAUUGGGAAGAACACCGGUGGCGAAGGCGGCGACCUGGUCCAUUACUGACGCUGAGGCGCGAUAGCGUGGGGAGCAAACAGG
rnacentral:rRNA from 1 species